AUUGCCAUGGCAUUUAUAGGCUGUCAUAGUGCCGUAAGGAAGGUCUUCAUGCUGAUGAGCAGUGAGGGCAACUGGAGGUCACUUUUCUUUCCAUCUGCUGGUUUCAGCUGGUUUUUUUUUUUUUUUAUUUAAGCCUGCUUUUUUUUUUUUUUUUUUUGAGAUAGGGUCUCGCUCCAUUGCCCAGGCUGGAUCGCAGUGGUACAAUCAUGGCCUACUGCAGCCUUGACCUCCUGGGCUCAAGCAAUCCUCCUGCCUUAGUCUCCCAAGUACCUGGGCCCACAAGCACAUGCCACCAUGCUUGGCUAAUUUUUUAAUUUUUUGUAGAGACGGGGGUCUCACUAUGUUGCCCAGGGUGGUCUCAAACUCCUGGCUUCAAGUGAUCCUCCUUUUGCAGCCUCCCAAAAUUCUGGGGUUAUAGGGAAGAGCCACUGCACCCAGUUUGCAUCCUGCUUUGACCAGCAGGGUCAUUACCGGUGCUCAGAAAACAAAUCCGGCUGAUUUCCCACCUCAUUGGUGCCCCAAACCAUGCUUUUUGUCACCCCCUGUAGUAAUAACCAUUUUCUGUAAGCAACUGCCAUCAGCCACCUCUAAAACUGUAUCUCUUGCCUAACCAUUACGCAAACCACGGUCAAGUUUUCUCACAAUACAGGGCCAUUUUUGGUAUCUCCGAAAAGCCAAAGAAAUCGGGUAAUACUGUGCAAAAGAGAGCGGAGCGUUAGACCUCAGGAGACUCUCCAUGUUGCGCUUGAAACUCCACAAGGAAAGCAGAAGCCCUCCAACCAACGCCCACUGCAUGCACUGUUGCGGCCCAGAGGUGGGCGUGAGGUCUCUGCUGCCACUCAUCCUCAUCCACAGCCAGCCACGCUGCAGAGCCACCCAGCCAGAGACGCCUACUCUGGUCUCCAGCUAGGAUGUUGAGGACCUGUUUCGAAUGUCUUGGAAGAAGUCCUGGAAUCCUCCCAGCCCCCAGGUUCCGGGAUACAUGUGCAGAAUGUGCAGAGUUUCACUCUGGCUCCUAGGCUGGAAAGCAGUGGCACCAUCUCAGCUCUCUGCAACCUCCACUUCCCAGGUUCAAGCGAUUCUCCUGCCUCAGCCUCCCGAG